UACGUAGGGUGCAAGCGUUAAUCGGAAUUACUGGGCGUAAAGCGUGCGCAGGCGGCUUUGCAAGACAGAUGUGAAAUCCCCGGGCUUAACCUGGGAACUGCAUUUGUGACUGCAGGGCUAGAGUACGGUAGAGGGGGAUGGAAUUCCGCGUGUAGCAGUGAAAUGCGUAGAUAUGCGGAGGAACACCGAUGGCGAAGGCAAUCCCCUGGACCUGUACUGACGCUCAUGCACGAAAGCGUGGGGAGCAAACAGG
rnacentral:rRNA from 1 species